ACAAUAAUACUUUCUGCCUAUAACGCUCGUUGUUUGAGCUCUUAACGCUUGACUCAGGCCUUCGAGGUUUGGGGGCUUGAGCUUUCAAUAGGCCCGAGUUUUUAAAGCUUGAGGUCUCUAUGAAGCCCGAGUCUUAAAGACUUACUCUUAAAAAGCUCGAGUCGUUAAGGUUCUGAACCGUUUCUGAGCUCAAACCUUUAACGCUUCAGUCUUCAAAGCUUGAACCUUCAAGGUUUGCAAGUCUUUAAGAGGCCGGUAUCGAUUUUAGUCGCAAAAAUGUAAAAUUGAUAAAUUUAGUCGAUGAAAUUGUACACCUUUUGUUACGUAAUAGAAAUAACAAGUACUAGUAUCUAUUAGCACGUCUUCUUAUCAUGCACUUUUACAGAUAAUUUUUUUGAAAACAGACUCACUAAAUUAGUAAUGAUUUUUUUUCUGAUGGACGUUUAGGUAAACGCGCGUAAAGCACUGAUUUUGUCGAUCUUAUUUGUAAAUUUUGUAAAGUUUGGACUGCUAAAAAUGGUAAUUUUGUAUUACACAUAUCCUGUACUCCAAAUCUGAUACACUACAUUUUUGUUAUUAUGACUUUGAAGUAGUGUAAGUAAAUGAAAGUUAGACGAAAUCAAUUUUCUCCAGAAAUUACUUCAAAACAAGUGACAAUGUCUCUGAAAAUCGACUUAAUUUUAACGUAAUUUUGAUACUUAAACAAUCUACAACUUCUCCUGAAAUAGUUCUUACCUAUACAUCAUUUUGUAUAAUUUACCACCAUAAUUUUUUCAUUAAUUUUUAAAAACUGCCCCUUCUCGUCAUAUAUUACCGGUGACGCACGCUCGCGACCUCAUUAUUAAAAGGCAAGAUGAGAAAACGUGCUAAUAGAAACCAAUACUUGUUAUUUAGAUAUUAUGUAACAAAAGGUAUACAAUUUCAACGACUAAAUCUAUCAA